CUCGUCUGCAAAGAUAAGAAACAAACCCCAGCAAUGGGAACUUUCAGUGAAUAUCCUUUUCAGCCUCCACACCUACUAUCUGUUUUGCUUUCUCUUUUUUUUUUUUCCUCCCUCGUUCAUCUCUGAGCUCGGGGAAAGUGAAGAGUGACCUAGCAUUUGCAGAGCCCUUCUCACAUGACUGUGAUUGUUCUCCACACACACUUCAAAGGUUACCGGAUGUACCCGAUUCAAAGCUGAGCAAACAGCAAAGUUUAAGAGAGCAGAGGAUGGGGGGGGGAGUGGAUGAAAAGGAGCACAAAGGAGGUAAACAAACAAAACCCUCUGAAACAAGACCCGUGGCAGAGUCGUUUGGACCUCGGUGGAUGUGCAGGUCGAGCAUCACAGCGCAUCACACUUCCUCUGCGCCGUGUCCAUGGGCUGCCGCUGCAACUCAACACCAGUGAUAUCGAUCGGCUUUCUAAGCCUCCGCCAACCUGGUCAAACCAGAGUCCUUUCUGAUAUUUACCCACCAAAGUAUUCCCUUCUGCUAGCACUGUCAACCCACAAGACAUGGAGGGAGAAAAAAAAGUCAAUUAUAUACAACGUGCUUGGUUUCCCCUCAAGGAUGGAAUCCACCCUUUCUAAUCCGAUCAAUUCAUGUCAGACAGGAGGCUGGAUUCAGCGCUAUCUCUGAAGUCCUGUAAUCCAGGCUAAGUCUUCACACUGCCUGCCUCACCUCCAUAAGAAAAGGGUUUGGUCCAGAGCGUGAUACAGCAAAUUAGUCGUAGUGUACAUUUAGACACACUGCAGUGGAUGGGUGCCAGUGUGCUAACAGCUAAGCAUAACUGGAUAAGCAAUUCAACUAAUUCCUACUAUAGUCAAUACUACAGUUGGCACAAACAACAUAGGGGGGACUAGGGCUAACUGUCACACCUUUUAUGAAUAUUUUAAUAUUUUUACCAUUAAAUAAUUAAAGUCUUUAAAUCAUUUAUGAAAGUAUUUUUUAAAAGUCAAUUUUUAUAAUAGCAGGCAUAUUGAAAUACAUGAAAAAAUAAGAAUAUGCCAUUUCAUAAUAAAUAUAUACCAAGCAUUGUUUUAGCCACAAAUAGUGUAAUUAAUAAAUUGUAUAAAUUUACAACUUUAAGUGACAACUUGCCUUGACCUGACCCAUUCAGUUUUUCCCUUAAAAAUGUACCUUAAUUAUACUUGACUAUUGUUGGAAUGUAUACCAGUGUGGUUUUAUUAUAUUUACUUCUUUAAACAACUAAAACA